rnacentral:tRNA from 1 species
GGAGAGGUGGCCGAGCUGGCCGAAGGCGAGCGCCUGCUAAGCGCUUGCAGGUCCAAAAGAUCUGCCGUGGGUUCGAAUCCCACCCUCUCCGCCA